rnacentral:rRNA from 1 species
ACUAGUAAUCGCAGAUCAGAAUGCUGCGGUGAAUGCGUUCCCGGGUCCUUGUACACACCGCCCGUCACACCACGGAAGUUGGGGGCGCCCGAAGCCACUUAGCUAACCCUUUUGGGAAGCGAGUGUCGAAGGUGAAAUCAAUAACUGGGGUGAAGUCGUAACAAGGUAGC